rnacentral:tRNA from 1 species
GGGGUUGUGGCUCAGUGGUACAGUGCUCACCUAGCAUAUGUGAGGCACUGGGUUCAAUCCUCAGCGCCACA